AACAAGGCGUACCUGCGGACCUGCGGAGGGAUCAUUACACAAUACAAUAUGAAGGCUGUCCGCAGCUGGAGUAUUUUAUUACCCUUGUCUUUUGCGCACUUGUUGUUUCCUGGGCGGGUUCGCUCGCCACCAGGACCACCAAAUAAACCUUUUUUGUGCAGUUGCAAUCAGCGUCAGUACAAACAAUGUAAAUCAUUUACAACUUUUAACAACGGAUCU
rnacentral:misc_RNA from 1 species